rnacentral:rRNA from 1 species
UACGGGGGGGCAAGCGUUGUUCGGAAUUACUGGGCGUAAAGGGUUCGUAGGUGGCCAACUCAGUCAGACGUGAAAUCCCUCAGCUCCAACUGGGGAACUGCGUCUGAUACUAGAUGGCUCGAGUGCAGGAGAGGAACGCGGAAUUCCAGGUGUAGCGGUGAAAUGCGUAGAUAUCUGGAGGAACACCGGUGGCGAAGGCGGCGUUCUGGACUGCAACUGACACUGAGGAACGAAAGCCAGGGGAGCAAACGGG